GACAGAGAGAGAGGCAGAGAGACAGGCAGAGUACUAGACUCGGCACCCCCGGGGAGUGCUGAUUCACGCUGCCAUCGGAUUUUAUUUGAAAUCCUCUGGGAUCCAUAAGAACACUCUGGCCCUCUGCUGGAACUCCUCCCGUGGCUUUGCGCAUCUUCUGCGCCGGACUGUGCCUUUUUUUUUUUAAUCUGCCGCAUAAGAUGGUAAUGACGCGACUAACAUCCCCUCAGUUCAUUCAGUGCUGACAAGUUCUCUUCCGACGCGAAUGUGCAAGAGAUCGGGCGAAAAAGAAAGAAACCCGGAGAGGAAAACAAGUUCUACACGAGAGCGAAAACACCCAGCAGCGAGAACAAUGAUCCGGGCUGCCGAUGUGGAGCGUUAAAACGAGUGGGGGGAAAAAAGAGUUAGUUUUUGUCUUUGCCAGGCUGCCGGGCACCUCCAGCUGAAAGCCAGGAGUCACAUACAUACACGAAGUGUCACGAGGGCUGGUGUCAACGCAAAGGAUGACGGUGAAGCUGGACUUUGAGGAGGGUUUGAAGGACUCCCCGCGCUUCAGAGCUGAGAUCGAGGACGUCCAGAAUGACGUGAGUGAACUCGAGACACGGUUGGAGAAGCUAGUGAAACAGUGCCAGGCCAUGCUGGAGGCCGGCAAAGCAUACUGUCAGACCAGCAAGAGCUUCGUGAAUGGCCUCCGGGAGCUCGGACACCAAUGCUCCGGGGACAAGAUGAUGGCGGACUGCUUGGAGAAAUUUUCCAAAAAGCUGAAUAUCAUUUUUGAGGCACAGGGGGAAGUGAUUGAGACGACGCAGAAGUCAGUGAGGGCGAAGCUGCAAAGCUUUGUGAAAGAAGAUGUUCGUCGUUUUAAGGACAGACGAAAAGAGUUUGAAAAGAGCAGCGAAGCCCUGGAGGGGGCGCUGUCAAGGAAUGCUCAGGCUCCACGCGGGAAGCAGCACGAAGUGGACGAGGCGAGUAACGCCCUGCUCAACGCGCGCAAGACCUUCAGGUCUGAGGCUUUGGACUACGUGCUGGAGAUUAAUGUCAUUGAGGCCAAGAAGAAGACAGAUAUUGUGCUGGCAAUGUUGUCGCUGAUGGAUGCCCAAGCCCAGUUCUUCCUGCAGGGUCACCAGUCUCUGUCAGAACUGGACGAGUAUCGACAAAAGCUGAAUGAAGAGCACAAACAGUUUGUCCUCGACUGUGCCAGAGAAAAGAGGGACAUGGAGCAAAGACACGCAGCAAUCAAGAAAAAGGACAUGUCUUAUGAUGACUCCAUUAUGGACUUUAAUGGUGACGCAGCUAAUGGGAUCGUGAUGGAGGGCUAUCUGUACAAGAGGGCCAGCAAUGCCUUCAAGACCUGGAGCAGGCGCUGGUUUUCAAUUCAGAAGAAUCAGCUGGUGUAUCAGAAGAAAUUCAAGGACCAGCCUACAGUCGUGGUGGAGGACUUGCGUCUUUGCACAGUCAAACCCAGCAUUGAAAAUGAGAGGCGUUUUUGCUUUGAAGUGGUUUCCCCAUCAAAGUGUUGUUUGUUGCAGGCAGACUCAGAAAGGCAGCAGCAAGCAUGGAUCAGCGCCGUCCAAAACAGCAUCGCCUCAGCCUUUCAGGAGCGCCGAGAGGACACGCUCAGCCCAAGACAGCGCUGCAGCUCGGUGUCUACAAGCAGCCUGGGAGGAGGAGGAGGAGGUGGAGGAGGCGUGGAUCAGGACAACGAGGGCUGCAAAGCACUGGAGGAGGUUCAGGCAAUCCCGGGGAACAGGCAGUGCUGCGACUGCGGAGAGCUGGGUCCUGACUGGGCCUCCAUCAACCUGGGCAUCACACUUUGUAUCGUCUGCUCAGGAAUACACAGGAGCCUUGGAGUCCAUUUCUCCAAAGUACGCUCCCUCACCCUCGACUCCUGGGAGCCCGAGCUUAUUAAGUUGAUGUGUGAGUUGGGGAACACAGUUAUCAACAGGAUCUAUGAAGCUCGGAUUGAUGAGAUCACCAUCAAGAAGCCCAAUCCCUCCAGUCCCAGAGGAGACAAGGAGUCGUGGAUUCGAUCAAAGUAUGUUGAAAAGAAGUUUAUCCAUAAGCUGCCUGAGACUGGCAGGAACCCCCCGCUGAGGCGAUCCAGCGGCAGGAGAAACCGAGCGACCACACAGAUCGCGCAGAGACCGCCGCUCAAGCCCAAACCGAACAGAGCCACUCUGCCUCGGGUCACAGGGUUAAGCCCCAGUGACCUUGUCCAGAUGAACAAUUCAGGCUUCCACAGAGAUAAUGAAGAGGAAGAGGAGGAGGAUCUCAGCCACCUCCACCCCGGGGCGCUGCUGUACCGCUCGGCAGCUUUGCAGAACUUCCCCGUCAUGGCCGACGCGUUGGCCCACGGAGCCGAUGUCAACUGGGUCAACGUGAAUGAUGAGUCGAGCACGCCGCUGAUACAGGCUGUCUCAGUGAACGCCCUGGCAGCCUGCGAGUUCCUGCUGCAAAACGGCGCCAACGUUAACCAGGCGGACAGCAAUGGCAGGGGACCGCUGCACCACGCCACCAUCCUGGGCCACACAGGGUUGGUUUGUCUGUUUUUGAAGCGAGGGGCUGACUACAACGCCCGAGACAAGAACCAGAAGGACCCGAUAACUAUCGCCGUGGAUAACGCCAAUGCAGACAUCGUCACUUUGUUGCGGAUUGCCAAAAUGAACAAGGAGAUGCGGGAGAUGGAUGGAGCGUUCGGCCAACCAGGUCAUUCAGAGGGGCAGGGAUCAGGGGGUGGAGUGGGCGGGACUGGAGGUGGGCUGGCCAAUACUAGAAAGAGUCUCCAGGCUAUAAAGAACCAUAUAAGUGGAUGGGCUAUGGGGAUUCAAAAUGACAAACUGGGCUAAAAAAUAUAUUUUUUUAAAAUCAAGCCUUACCGUGCAUGAGUUUAUAGAUGAAAAAGAAAUAAAAACAAGCUUCAACUUCAACUUGAACAGAGGGUACGACAGGUGGAAGCUGUUCUCAUGAGGUGGUCACACGCACUUUGAAUUGUAAAUGCACAUCAUGCUGCACUUUGAAACCCACAAAGCAUCCGAACACUAUGUCAACACAGACCUACAUGUGGGCGUCUUCAAUGCUAAACCGUUCUUUAAGCGAGCUUAAAGAAGCUGUGUAUAGAGUAGACCUGGGUCAGGCCAAUUUUCAGUGUAUUUAGGAUAUUUUCUGUCUGUACAGUGUGCUGAUUUGUGUAUUUGUGACUGUGUUUCUUAUUCCAGUUUAUGUAAGCUAAAUUCAGGGUUGGGUUUUGGUUCUCAAGGACAAUUUUCUCCCGCUGUUCUGUGAACGGUGACUCAGUUUAAGCUUCGACACUGUUGGAUUUGACCUCUUUUGUGCUUAACUGAGCGCUCUGCCGCAGCCCCUCGAGCUUGAGGUUAACAGUGGGUUUUGUUUGCGUUUUUAUGUGCCAUUUGGCUCUUUUUCAAGCUGCAAAGACCAUUCCUUCGUGGUUGUCUCCUGGGUCCGUUUAAGGGCUUCUUGAUAACUUUAUACUUUAGUCUCCUGUGUCCGGUUUUUAGUCAUGCGGGAAUGGGGAGAGAAGGAAAAAAGACAAGAAAAACAAGUUGUGUUUGUCUGCUUGAAAGAACUGCUGGUCAGUAUUUGACGUGCUGUGCUUUGUCUGUUGUUGUUGUCUGUGUUGUAUGCACUCGUGUGCCUUUGCCUUCUGCCCUCUGAGACGUCCGGCUGGUCUCAACUGCUUGUGCAGUGUGCGCCACCUACAGCAAACUAAGAGGUGAUGAAACCUACCAGGACAUUUUCAGAGACUUUUCCCACAUGGCCUCGAACAACCCAGAGAAGCUCAAACGCCGCAGUGCUGACCCGAAGUCUUAACCAGCUGCCUCUCCACCUCCUCAUUCCACAGUGCAGCACCACAUACUUUCAGGCUCAUAUAGAAAAGAUUCAUCUUUCAGGCAUGCAGAUGCACUCGCUCUCUCUCUCUCUCGCUGGCUACCUGCCACGUGUUCGGUCACAGCUCAGCUGGUGUUGACUUCAGAGGGAACGAACGCUCCGAACAGUGAAUUCUUUGUGCGAGCACGUCAGAGCAGAACAAUCGUGUCCAAGUGGAAACACUGCAACAGCUUUAUGAGACCAGCGUGAGGUGUCUGUAGCAGAGGGUAGCACCGUUACUCUGCCAAAAGUUUUCUUAUUAAAACCAGUAAAUCUGUUUAUUUCUUUUUUUUCCCCUUCUUUUUGUAAGCGAAAAGAGGCUGUUGUUUUAGGUUUUGCGAUUUCUACUGACUCCUUACAUGAAACAAAAACAAAAAAAAGUUUGUAGGAAAUUGUUGUAAAAAGUUGCAUUUUAUUUCUACCGUCUUGCGAUGAACUGGAGUAUUUGCAGAUUUUUAAAUUUGGGACUUUGUGUUCAUGUUUUGUCUAAAUUAUGUGAGGUACAUUCAGUUUGUAUUCAGAUCAAAUAAAAGAAAAAUUCAAACUCGUG